UACGUAGGGUGCAAGCGUUGUCCGGAAUUAUUGGGCGUAAAGAGCUCGUAGGCGGUGUGUCACGUCGGCCGUGAAAACCUGCAGCUUAACUGUGGGCGUGCGGUCGAUACGGGCAUCACUGGAGUUCGGCAGGGGAGACUGGAAUUCCUGGUGUAGCGGUGAAAUGCGCAGAUAUCAGGAGGAACACCGGUGGCGAAGGCGGAUCUCUGGGCCUGUCCUGACGCUCAGGCGCGAAAGCUAGGGGAGCAAACAGG
rnacentral:rRNA from 1 species